CAGGGUCAGCACUGGGGAUACAAAAGUCAAUCACACACAGUUCUUGUCCUCACAUUGCUAAGUCUAUUGGAGGAGACUUUGAAAAAAGCAUCACUUCAGUAUUUCAUGCAGCUUCAGCCAUGAGCACAGAGGAGCCCUCAUUCCCCCCUGCCCCUGAGCACCUCAGCACGAUACCAUCACCCCACCUCAGAAGACUGAAUGGCAAACCUAACUUUAAAAUGGAAAAAGAAUCUGAGAAGAUUUCUCCAAAGAAGAUACACAAAUGGC